CGAAAUGCCAAAACAAAGUCAGAUGCUGACCAAAUUAGCGGUAUAUAUGUAGUUGGCAACAACAGAGAGACAGCAAUCAGAGAGAGAGCAGCAGCCAUUAACGCAACAAUAUUGAGAAAGAGUAACAACAAGAGGGAGAGAGAGAGAGAGAGAGACAGAUAGGGAGAGAGGGAGGACAAUAGGCUCCAUCAUGAAGCGGUCAAACCGAUGCAGUUCAAUGUGAAAUCAAGUCAAUACGUAUACGUACCAUGGGACAAAUCGGACAGUUUAGUAUUUUUAACUAAAUGUAAUCGUCAAUGAUGAUGGGGUUGUUGACGUAGGCAAUUUGGACAACAAGUCGAAGACGAGCAAAAACAAGAGAAUUUUGAAUAGGAACAACACGGUUGUCAGGCGUCAUCAAUUCAUUUGAAUAACAAAUCAUUUCCCUCUGACAGGUAGUUCGCAGCGCCGCGAACGCUGGGAAGGACGGGGACAAAGAGUAACCCAGACACUGGCCAGGCACAGAGGGUGGCGGGCAGUGAGGCAGGUGCAGUUGUGGGCAGCAGGGAGUUAUAAGAUUGUCAGGCCCCUUGCAAUCGCCUUCCUCAUCAAAGUUCGAUUGAAAUGGCAAAAGGGAGAUGCAUUAAACUAGUCGUAAGAAAGGCAUAACUAAAACUAUUAUGGCUAAGCGGCGCCAGGAUGACAGUAAAAGCGGCGUCUGUGCGAGACAUGACAGGAAGAGGAACUUAUUUAAUAAUUGCUUCCCCCACUUUCCAUUUAUUUAGUAUCUGUACGGUAUUUUAGAGUCGAUUCCACAACUUGAGGCGCAUAAAUUUUGCGUUUUUUUAUUUAAUAAAGAAAAGUUUUGUAUUUUAA